CCUACGGGCGGCAGCAGUGAGGAAUAUUGGUCAAUGGCCGUAAGGCUGAACCAGCCAAGUCGCGUGAAGGAAGAAGGAUCUAUGGUUUGUAAACUUCUUUUAUAGGGGAAUAAAGGUAUCCACGUGCGGAUAUUUGCAUGUAUCCCAUGAAUAAGCAUCGGCUAACUCCGUGCCAGCAGCCGCGGUAUUACGGAGGAUGCGCGCGUUAUCCGGAUUUAUUGGGUUUAAAGGGUGCGUAGGUGGGUUUUUAAGUCAGCGGUGAAAGUUUGUGGCUCAACCAUAAAAUUGCCGUUGAAACUGGAAGACUUGAGUGUGUUUGAGGUAGGCGGAAUGCGUGGUGUAGCGGUGAAAUGCUUAGAUAUCACGCAGAACUCCGAUUGCGAAGGCAGCUUACUGGGCCAUAACUGACGCUGAGGCACGAAAGCGUGGGGAUCAAACAGGAUUAGAUACCCGGGUAGUC
rnacentral:rRNA from 1 species